CACGCCGACUCGGGGUGCCCCGCCAUUGGCCGGGGCUGAGACACACCCGCAUCACCUGAUCCGGAUCAUGCCGGCGUAGGGAAGUCCGCCUCCCUGGCC
rnacentral:ncRNA from 2 species